rnacentral:rRNA from 1 species
ACGGGUGAGUAACGCGUAGGAAUAUGCCUUAAAGUGGGGGACAACUUGGGGAAACUCAAGCUAAUACCGCAUAAUCUCUAAGGAGAAAAGCUGGGGACCUUCGGGCCUGGCGCUUUAAGAUUGGCCUGCGUCCGAUUAGCUAGUUGGUAGGGUAAAGGCCUACCAAGGCGACGAUCGGUAGCUGGUCUGAGAGGAUGGCCAGCCACACUGGAACUGAGACACGGUCCAGACUCCUACGGGAGGCAGCAGUGGGGAAUAUUGGACAAUGGGGGCAACCCUGAUCCAGCAAUGCCGCGUGUGUGAAGAAGGCCUGAGGGUUGUAAAGCACUUUCAGUGGGGAGGAGGAUUAUUCGGUUAAGAGCUAGAUAAUUGGACGUUACCCACAGAAGAAGCACCGGCUAACUCCGUGCCAGCAGCCGCGGUAAUACGGAGGGUGCAAGCGUUAAUCGGAAUUACUGGGCGUAAAGGGUGCGUAGGUGGUCUGAUAAGUUAUCUGUGAAAUCCCUGGGCUCAACCUGGGCAGGUCAGAUAAAACUAUUAGACUCGAGUAUGGGAGAGGGUAGUGGAAUUUCCGGUGU